UGCUCCGUGGCGCAAUUGGUUAGCGCGUCUGACUGCUAAGCAUCGGGAUUGACAAAUAAUCAGGAGGGUGGAAGUUCAAGCCUUCCCGGAGAAG